GCACUAUGUAUACAAGGGGCAUAACCACUCAGCAAAUUGUACUUACGGAUUUCGGAUGUGAUUGUGGAAUGUGUUUUAGUUUCAAACAUUUGUUAUGAUUUAUGAGAAUUUGGUGUCGCAAAAACUGGUGAACAGUGCCAGAAGAAGUACCAAAAUUCCAAGGCUCGGUCUUCUUCAUAUGCUUAACAAAGCAGUGAGCGUGCCACAACAGCCAGCAGUGAAGAACAUAUGAGUGUACCAGUCAUGAAAGUAGAGGCAUGAAGUGGAAAGAAUCGCUCACAAAGAAGACCGACAAGAGAUCACAAGCCGAUACCUUAACAAAACUUACAGAGAAACCGAUGGGAAAUAACUAAGAAAAAUUAGAAUAAGAAAUACAAAAGUUGACUGUAGAAAUUGAAAUAAUACAUUUGGAGAAAAAGAUGUGUUUAGUGUCAAUACGUGACCAAGUGCUAUAACUCUGACAUGUAAUAUACUAGUAGUAGAUUUAUUCCCCUUUUUGUAAUUAAAAGGAUCUUAUUAUUUUUUGUGCAACUACUUCAUAACUCUAUUAUUUCUAAAAUAGAUAGUCUAUAUUAGAAAUAAUAGAGUUAUGGAGCAGUUGCACACAAAAUAAUAUAAAAAAAAAAUAAUUCAAAAAGGGGCAUACUAAUAUUUCUAUGAUAAAAAUAUGAUUCUAUCCCUUUUUGUACUUAUAAAAUUCCAGUCAAUAUUUGUGUGCUUUAAGAAAUGUAGGUUAAAUAUUACAUUGGUCAUUGUUUUAUGUUACUGACAGAUAAAAUACAUUCUACAUUCAAAGAGGAAUAUUAGUUGAAUGCGGUGUCUUGGGACACUUCUUGAUAUUAUUUGCUUACAAGAUAUACAUCAUUGAUAAUAAUAAAAUUCUUCAUUCAAUGAACUGAAUGAAAUUCCAGAAUAAUGGUAGAUACAGUAAUGUGAAUUUGAAAUUAGACAUCAACAAAUCCUGGCAUCAUGCUUUCGCCCUGGCCAACUGGCAGUGAACUUGAGUGAAGCUCGUUAUUCUGUAGCUGGCAUCAUACACAGCCUGUUAACAUAAAACAUGUUAUAUUACACUAACAAAAUAAGACAUAUUUUUGUACAUUUUUUCUUAAGUAUUUGAUAAAAUGCUGAUAAAAUGCUGAUAAAAUGUUUCCUAUUUUGCUAAUGACAAACUGUUAAAAUAAACAUACAGUUGUUUCAUUAAAUAUUUGUGUUUAAAAUGAAGUUGUAUCAAAGAAAAAGGAUUGCAUUUAGACUUGCACAUAACUGACUGUUAAGCCAUACAUGAACGUUGAUGGUGGGAACGCCCUUUCGCCCUAUGUAGACUUCUACAUGGUUCACUGGCUUCUUGAUAUGCACAUGCGUCCAAUCGAUGCACCCCAAAGUACUUGUAAAACCGGAAAGUUGAUCAUUUAAAAUUGACCAAUUUUUUGGAAAACUUACGAUAUUAAUAAGUAAAUAGAUAUUGAUAUAAAUGGAUUGUGAUCGGUGCAUUUAUGUGCAUUAUAUUGAAUGAAAGUUCUGCCUUAUGUCAGAAGUGAUGCAAUAUGCUGAUGUGUCUCAACUUGAUAAUCAAAAAUAAUGUCAUCGUUUUACUAUUGAUUGAAAAUGCAAUAAUAUAUGCAUUUGAGAAUAAAAUAUUAUUUCUGUU